GGACCAAGGAGUAUAGCAUGUGCGCGAGUCAUUGGGAUUUUUACUAAACCUAAAGGCGCAAUGAAAGUGAAGGUCCGCCUUGCGCGGACCGAGGGAGGAUGGACCGUUCCGAGGGACGGCCUCGCACUCCCGGGGCGUCUCGCUCUCAUCGCGAGAAGAGGCGCACCCAGAGCGUACACGCUGGGACCCGAAAGAUGGUGAACUAUGCCUGGUCAGGACGAAGUCAGGGGAAACCCUGAUGGAGGUCCGUAGCGAUUCUGACGUGCAAAUCGAUCGUCGGAACUGGGUAUAGGGGCGAAAGACUAAUCGAACCAUCUAGUAGCUGGUUCCCUCCGAAGUUUCCCUCAGGAUAGCUGGCGCUCGCUUCUCGCGAGUCUCAUUCGGUAAAGCGAAUGAUUAGAGGCAUUGGGGUCGAAACGGCCUCAACCUAUUCUCAAACUUUAAAUGGGUGAGAUCUCCGGCUUGCUUGAACUGUGAAGCCGCGAGAUAUCGGAUCAGAGUGCCAAGUGGGCCACUUUUGGUAAGCAGAACUGGCGCUGUGGGAUGAACCAAACGCAGAGUUAAAGCGCCUAAAUCGACGCUUAUGGGAUACCAUGAAAGGCGUUGGUAACUUAAGACAGCACGACGGUGGCCAUGGAA
rnacentral:rRNA from 1 species